UACGUAGGGUGCGAGCGUUAAUCGGAAUUACUGGGCGUAAAGCGUGCGCAGGCGGUUCGUUGUGUCGGUGGUGAAAGCCCCGGGCUUAACCUGGGAAUGGCCAUGGAAACUGGCGAACUGGAGUGUGGCAGAGGGGGGUGGAAUUCCGCGUGUAGCAGUGAAAUGCGUAGAGAUGUGGAGGAAUACCGAUGGCGAAGGCAGCCCCCUGGGAUGAUACUGACGCUCAUGCACGAAAGCGUGGGGAGCAAACAGG
rnacentral:rRNA from 1 species